CAAUAAGCGGAGGAAAAGAAACCAACAGGGAUUGCCUCAGUAACGGCGAGUGAAGCGGCAUCAGCUCAAAUUUGAAAUCUGGCACCUUUGGGGGCCCGAGUUGUAAUUUGGAGAGGAUACUUCGGGGGUGGCCACGGUGUAAGUCCCUUGGAACAGGGCGUCAUAGAGGGUGAGAAUCCCGUCUUGCACCGCGAUCCCUCCCCCGUGUGAAGUUCCUUCGACGAGUCGAGUUGUUUGGGAAUGCAGCUCUAAGUGGGUGGUAAAUUUCAUCUAAAGCUAAAUAUUGGCCGGAGACCGAUAGCGCACAAGUAGAGUGAUCGAAAGGUUAAAAGCACCUUGAAAAGGGAGUUAAAUAGCACGUGAAAUUGUUGAAAGGGAAGCGCUUGCAACCAGACUCGGUUCCGGGGGCUCAACGGGCACCUGUUGCCCGUGUACUCCCCCGGAUUCCGGGCCAGCAUCAGUUCAGGCGGCCGGUCAAAGGCCUUGGGAAGGUAGUAUCCUCCGGGAUACCUUAUAGCCCUCGGUGCAAUGCGGCCAGCCCGGACUGAGGAACGCGCUUCGGCACGGAUGCUGGCAUAAUGGUUGUAAGCGGCCCGUCUUGAAACACGGACCCA
rnacentral:rRNA from 1 species